ensembl:misc_RNA 7SK 7SK RNA
GGCUGUGAGGGCGAUCUGACGGUGACAUCUGCCACUCCAUUGAUCACCAUGGUUGAUUUGGCCGAUCCGACUGGUUAGGCGAGUGUCCCCUUCCUCUCUCACCCCUCCAUGUGUGUCCCUCCUGAAGCUGAGUGCUCAAUUGAAGAGGACACCCAUCCCCGCUAGAGGAGAACCAUUCGCUUCCCCCUACCAGGAUCUCCAGAAAGCAGCUCGAGGUUCAGACACUCUGCAGGAAGGCUGGAGAAUGAACACAGCACCUCUGAAAAUGUGGAGACUGCCACACAGCUGGGCCAUAGGGCUGUGUCUUGACUU